UGGAGAGAUUUGAUCCUGGCUCAGAUUGAACGCUGGCGGCAUGCCUUACACAUGCAAGUCGAACGGCAGCAUGAUCUAGCUUGCUAGAUUGAUGGCGAGUGGCGAACGGGUGAGUAAUACAUCGGAACGUGCCCUGUAGUGGGGGAUAACUAGUCGAAAGAUUAGCUAAUACCGCAUACGACCUGAGGGUGAAAGUGGGGGACCGCAAGGCCUCAUGCUAUAGGAGCGGCCGAUGUCUGAUUAGCUAGUUGGUGAGGUAAAGGCUCACCAAGGCGACGAUCAGUAGCUGGUCUGAGAGGACGAUCAGCCACACUGGGACUGAGACACGGCCCAGACUCCUACGGGAGGCAGCAGUGGGGAAUUUUGGACAAUGGGCGAAAGCCUGAUCCAGCAAUGCCGCGUGUGUGAAGAAGGCCUUCGGGUUGUAAAGCACUUUUGUCCGGAAAGAAAUGGCUCUGGUUAAUACCUGGGGUCGAUGACGGUACCGGAAGAAUAAGGACCGGCUAACUACGUGCCACACC
rnacentral:rRNA from 1 species